rnacentral:sRNA from 2 species
AUUUUUAUACAGUCUAAUCCCGAAAGGGAAUGGAGGAACCAUUUUUUGGGGGUUAUUUCUACAGAUUUGUAGAAGGGAUGUGAAACUCUUUCGCCAUCCUAUCCGUCGCUAACUUCGUCGACUAAAGCGAAGGAGGUC